CAGUCGCCACGGUAAUACGUAGGGUGCGAGCGUUAAUCGGAAUUACUGGGCGUAAAGCGUGCGCAGGCGGUUUGUUAAGACAGAUGUGAAAUCCCCGGGCUCAACCUGGGAACUGCAUUUGUGACUGGCAAGCUAGAGUGUGGCAGAGGGGGGUGGAAUUCCGCGUGUAGCAGUGAAAUGCGUAGAUAUGCGGAGGAACACCGAUGGCGAAGGCAGCCACCUGGGCCAACACUGACGCUCAUGCACGAGAGCGUGGGGAGCAAACAGGAUUAGAUACCCGCGUAGUCCCUGUCUCUUAUAC
rnacentral:rRNA from 1 species